rnacentral:rRNA from 1 species
AGACCAAGGGUUCCUGUCCAACGUUAAUCGGGGCAGGGUGAGUCGACCCCUAAGGCGAGGCCGAAAGGCGUAGUCGAUGGGAAACAGGUUAAUAUUCCUGUACUUGGUGUUACUGCGAAGGGGGGACGGAGAAGGCUAUGUUGGCCGGGCGACGGUUGUCCCGGUUUAAGCGUGUAGGCUGGUUUUCCAGGCAAAUCCGGAAAAUCAAGGCUGAGGCGUGAUGACGAGGCACUACGGUGCUGAAGCGACAAAUGCCCUGCUUCCAGGAAAAGCCUCUAAGCAUCAGGUAACAUCAAAUCGUACCCCAAACCGACACAGGUGGUCAGGUAGAGAAUACCAAGGCGCUUGAGAGAACUCGGGUGAAGGAACUAGGCAAAAUGGUGCCGUAACUUCGGGAGAAGGCACGCUGAUAUGUAGGUGAAGCGACUUGCUCGUGGAGCUGAAAUCAGUCGAAGAUACCAGCUGGCUGCAACUGUUUAUUAAAAACACAGCACUGUGCAAACACGAAAGUGGACGUAUACGGUGUGACGCCUGCCCGGUGCCGGAAGGUUAAUUGAUGGGGUUAGCGGUAACGCGAAGCUCUUGAUCGAAGCCCCGGUAAACGGCGGCCGUAACUAUAACGGUCCUAAGGUAGCGAAAUUCCUUGUCGGGUAAGUUCCGACCUGCACGAAUGGCGUAAUGAUGGCCAGGCUGUCUCCACCCGAGACUCAGUGAAAUUGAACUCGCUGUGAAGAUGCAGUGUACCCGCGGCAAGACGGAAAGACCCCGUGAACCUUUACUAUAGCUUGACACUGAACAUUGAGCCUUGAUGUGUAGGAUAGGUGGGAGGCUUUGAAGUGUGGACGCCAGUCUGCAUGGAGCCGACCUUGAAAUACCACCCUUUAAUGUUUGAUGUUCUAACGUGGGCCCCUUACCGGGGUUGCGGACAGUGUCUGGUGGGUAGUUUGACUGGGGCGGUCUCCUCCUAAAGAGUAACGGAGGAGCACGAAGGUUGGCUAAUCCUGGUCGGACAUCAGGAGGUUAGUGCAAUGGCAUAAGCCAGCUUGACUGCGAGCGUGACGGCGCGAGCAGGUGCGAAAGCAGGUCAUAGUGAUCCGGUGGUUCUGAAUGGAAGGGCCAUCGCUCAACGGAUAAAAGGUACUCCGGGGAUAACAGGCUGAUACCGCCCAAGAGUUCAUAUCGACGGCGGUGUUUGGCACCUCGAUGUCGGCUCAUCACAUCCUGGGGCUGAAGUAGGUCCCAAGGGUAUGGCUGUUCGCCAUUUAAAGUGGUACGCGAGCUGGGUUUAGAACGUCGUGAGACAGUUCGGUCCCUAUCUGCCGUGGGCGCUGGAGAACUGAGGGGGGCUGCUCCUAGUACGAGAGGACCGGAGUGGACGCAUCACUGGUGUUCGGGUUGUCAUGCCAAUGGCACUGCCCGGUAGCUAAAUGCGGAAGAGAUAAGUGCUGAAAGCAUCUAAGCACGAAACUUGCCCCGAGAUGAGUUCUCCCUGACUCCUUGAGAGUCCUGAAGGAACGUUGAAGACGACGACGUUGAUAGGCCGGGUGUGUAAGCGCAGCGAUGCGUUGAGCUAACCGGUACUAAUGAACCGUGAGGCUUAACCUUACAACGCCGAAG